rnacentral:rRNA from 1 species
GAUGAACGCUAGCUACAGGCUUAACACAUGCAAGUCGAGGGCAGCAUGAAGUUUGCUUGCAAACUUUGAUGGCGACCGACGCACGGGUGAGUAACGCGUAUCCAACCUUCCCCAUAGUAGGGAAUAGCCCGGCGAAAGUCGGAUUAAUGCCCUAUGUUGUAUUAUGAGGACAUCUGAGUAAUACCAAAGAUUUAUCGCUAUGGGAUGGGGAUGCGUCUGAUUAGCUUGUUGGCGGGGUAACGGCCCACCAAGGCUACGAUCAGUAGGGGUUCUGAGAGGAAGGUCCCCCACAUUGGAACUGAGACACGGUCCAAACUCC